AGUGAACGCUGGCGGUAGGCCUAACACAUGCAAGUCGAACGGCAGCCCAGGAGAGCUUGCUCUCUGGGUGGCGAGUGGCGGACGGGUGAGGGAUACAUCGGAAUCUGCCCAGUCGUGGGGGAUAACGUAGGGAAACUUACGCUAAUACCGCAUACAACCUUCGGGUGAAAGAGGGGGAUCGCAAGACCUCUCGCGAUUGGAUGAGCCGAUGUCGGAUUAGCUAGUUGGCGGGGUAAUGGCCCACCAAGGCGACGAUCCGUAGCUGGUCUGAGAGGAUGAUCAGCCACACUGGAACUGAGACACGGUCCAGACUCCUACGGGAGGCAGCAGUGGGGAAUAUUGGACAAUGGGCGCAAGCCUGAUCCAGCCAUACCGCGUGGGUGAAGAAGGCCUUCGGGUUGUAAAGCCCUUUUGUUGGGAAAGAAAUCUUUCAGGCUAAUACCCUGGGAGGAUGACGGUACCCAAAGAAUAAGCACCGGCUAACUUCGUG
rnacentral:rRNA from 1 species